rnacentral:rRNA from 1 species
GAUCAUGGCUCAGGAUGAACGCUAGCUACAGGCUUAACACAUGCAAGUCGAGGGGCAUCAGUUUGGUUUGCUUGCAAACCAAAGCUGGCGACCGGCGCACGGGUGAGUAACACGUAUCCAACCUGCCUCAUACUCGGGGAUAGCCUUUCGAAAGAAAGAUUAAUAUCCGAUAGCAUAUAUUUCCCGCAUGGGUUUUAUAUUUAAAGAUUUAUCGGUGUACGAUGGGGAUGCGUUCCAUUAGGUAG